ACUGCUUGUAAGCAAGUUUUGUUGGUUUUAGUCUCUUUUUGGAGAAAAUGGGUAUAAGUGGUGUCUAAACACUCCUAAUACAUCUCUAACUCUUAUAAUUAGUCGAAUGCAUUUGAUUGUGAUAC
rnacentral:sRNA from 1 species